rnacentral:rRNA from 1 species
AGUGAACGCUGGCGGUAGGCCUAACACAUGCAAGUCGAACGGCAGCACAGGAGAGCUUGCUCUCUGGGUGGCGAGUGGCGGACGGGUGAGGAAUACAUCGGAAUCUACUCUGUCGUGGGGGAUAACGUAGGGAAACUUACGCUAAUACCGCAUACGACCUACGGGUGAAAGCAGGGGACCUUCGGGCCUUGCGCGAUUGAAUGAGCCGAUGUCGGAUUAGCUAGUUGGCUGGGUAAAGGCCCACCAAGGCGACGAUCCGUGGCGGGUCUGAGAGAAGAAUCAGCCACACUGGAACUGAGACACGGUCCAGACUCAUACGGGAGGCAGCAGUGGGGAAUAUUAGACAAUGGGCGCAAGCCUGAUCCAGCCUUACCGCGAGGGUGAAGAAGGCCUUCGGGUUGUAAAGCACUUUUGUUGGGAAAGAAAUCCAGCAGACUAAUACCCGGUUGGGAUGACGGUACCCAAAGAAUAAGCACCGGCUAACUUCGUGCCAGCCGCCGCAGUAA